GACGUAGGGUGCGAGCGUUGUCCGGAUUUAUUGGGCGUAAAGAGCUCGUAGGCGGCUCGUCGCGUCGACCGUGAAAACCCGCGGCUUAACUGCGGGCUUGCGGUUGAUACGGGCGGGCUAGAGUUCGGUAGGGGAGACUGGAAUUCCUGGUGUAGCGGUGAAAUGCGCAGAUAUCAGGGGAACACCGGUGGCGAAGGCGGGUCUCUGGGCCGAUACUGACGCUGAGGAGCGAAAGCGUGGGGAGCGAACAGG
rnacentral:rRNA from 1 species